UAAAUAUCUGAAAAAUUACCACCCCUCUGGAGAGGCAAUUGCAACUGAUCAUUUUUGUGCUAGUCACAAGUUGCAACAUUUACAAAACGAAGCUUAAAGUAAAAUAAAUAUAACGAAAGAUUCAAUGGUAUCAUAUCGAUACACAUGUAACAACUACAAGCUAUGGUGGGCUACUGAAAAAGCUAUCAAUACAAUGUUGUAUGCGAUAUGAGAUUAAAGCAUGAAUCACAUGUGGUUGAUUCAGUGUUUGCUCUGGCAUUCGAUGCACAAGAACAUUCAGGAAGGGAAGUACGAGUCCUAAGACUCUGGCUAUUCUGUUCAUGACCUGUAGCUACUGUAUCCUCCACCAGAACCAAAUGAUCCAUAGCCACCACCAUAAUGAUGUCCGCCGUAUGAAGAUGAUGGAUAAGAGCCCCCACCUAGGUUAGAGUAAGAUGAUUGCCUCAAGCCUGUAUCUAACUGGCCAUAACUGCUUGGAAGUGAAUCUUUGUGGCUGCUCAUAAAUUCCUGGAUAAGUUGCUGAGCUGUCUGAACUUGUGAUGACAUCCCUUUUAUUUCCACCGUGAUUUCAUCAGAUAAACCCCUACUUUCUUGCACCGUAAGAACGGCACCACUAGUACGGCGUAUAUAAGCAAUAUUUGCUCCUCCUAUGCCAAUGAUAUCUUCUGCAUAAGUUAAUGGUAUUUGCAUUUGAACAGUUUGGGAUAUCUGAGUAAUAACAGAAUUCCCAGCACGACCCACACCUGAAGUGCGAGUUCCAGAAAGUCCAAAGUCUUGCCCAUACAAUGAAAGUCCAGUAGAAUGAUAAUGUGAGUCCAACUGGCUUUCACGUUCGGGAAACAGUGAGUCCCUCUUUGUUGGAGGAGGAUAAUCACCAAGUCCUGAUCGAGGAGGAUAAUCACCUAGUCCUGAUCGAGGAGGAUAAUCACCUAGCCCUGAUC
rnacentral:misc_RNA from 1 species